AACUAGGUCUGGAGCAGCAAAGCGGGCGGGGCCGCGAUUUCUCCCGCAUCGCUGCGCCCGUUCUUCUCCGCCUGCGUGAGCACCGCCCACCCACUCGCGGUGUGAACAUACUGGGUCUCGCCUCUCCUUUCCCCUCCCCUCGGCCUGGUGCUGAAUCAUGAGCCCAAUGUCUCCAAAAGGAGAUCACUGCCAGCCUCUUAAUUACCAGAUCCAUGAUCUCUGCUAAUUCCUCAAGACACAGUCUCCCUCUGUUGCCCAGGCCGGAGUGCAGUGGCGUGAUCUCAGCUCACUACAACCUCCACCUCCCAGGUUCAAGCAAUUCUCAUGCCUCAGCCUCUCAAGUAGCUGGGAUUACUGGCGGUCGCCAGCACGCCUGGCUGUUUUUGUAUGUAGAGACAGGGUUUCUCCAUGUUGCCCAGGCUGGUCUCAAACUCAUGAGCUCAAGUGAUCUGCCCACCUCAGCCUCUUGAUGUCAUGUCUUUUAAAUUAAGUAGCUGGCAUUCCCUCUCCCACUUUUCUAUGUUGAGUCCCUCUAUAAAUUAAUGGAAGCUUUUAAAAAAAUUGUGUUAUGCAUCACCAUUCUUUUUAAUGCCUAAAUUCCCCUAAUUUGGCUGAGGAUCAGCUCGUGUGUCCUUUUAACAUUGUCCCUUUUUGUCUUUGAGUAGUUCCCUGUCUUCUGGUACUAGAAAAUGUUUCAGGUUCCUUUGUAUUUUCCCUGUCUUAGAACUAGCAUAGCCAUUUCUCCAAGAUGCUCUGGCUCCUUUUAACGAGAAAAGGUGUUUAGAAACCAAGACGUGGGUGCUAGUUGUGCUCAUUGCUGGGUGAAAAUCACUGUUUCUAGACCCUUUCAGUGGACAUUGCUAGAACGCAUCUUUUUAAUCAUAAGUUUAAUCUACUCUGAAGAAAUACCUCAAUAGUAUGAAAAUAUAAACAUACAUGGUUAUGUAUUACAUUACUUUUUGUUAUUGUAAAAUGCUGGAAACAACCUGAAUGCCCACAUAUAGAUGAUUGGUUGAAUAUAUUAUAAUACAUAUAUGCAAUAAAAUGUUAUGUAGGUGUGAAAAAGAAUACAGAAGAUCUUUAAUACAGAGUGAUUUCCAGAAUACAAUGUUAAAUGAGGAGGAAAAAGUGCAAAUAGUAUACCAUUCCUGGAAAAAGAAAAGGAUAUGAAAAAAGUAUCCAUUCAUCUGUGAAAAAUAAAUACAGCAAGAAUAAACCAGAAACCAAUGAGAUUGUUCACCUAUGGGAGAUGGGUAGGAAUAGGUAGAAAUAAUGGAAGAAUGAGAAGAGGGUAGUAGGGAUUAAGGGGACUGAUAUUUCUCUAAGUGUAAUGCUUUUAUAUAACUCUGAGUCUUAGAACAGUAAUGUUUCACAUUCUCCAGAAUAAGUUUUAAAAUGCUUACUAUGAUGACUAUAAUCAAAAAGAUAAUAACAAGUGUUGGUGAGAUGUGGAGAAAUUGGCACCCUCAUAAACUGCUGAUGGAAAUAUAAAAUGGUGCAGAUACUUUGGGAAAAAGUCUAGCAGUUCCUCAAAAAGUUAAACAUAGAAU